GACGAACGCUGGCGGCGUGCUUAACACAUGCAAGUCGAGCGGUAAGGCCCUUUCGGGGGUACACGAGCGGCGAACGGGUGAGUAACACGUGGGUGACCUGCCCUCAGCUCUGGGAUAAGCCCUGGGAAACCGGGUCGUAAUACCGUGGAGUAUGACUCCAUGACGCAUGUUGUGGGGUGGAAAGCCUUGUGCGGCUGAGGAUGGGCCCGCGGCCUAUCAGCUUGUUGGUGGGGUGAUGGCCUACCAAGGCGACGACGGGUAGCCGGCCUGAGAGGGCGA
rnacentral:rRNA from 1 species